AUUGAACGCUGGCGGCAGGCCUAACACAUGCAAGUCGAACGGUAACAGGAAGCAGCUUGCUGCUUUGCUGACGAGUGGCGGACGGGUGAGUAAUGUCUGGGAAACUGCCCGAUGGAGGGGGAUAACUACUGGAAACGGUAGCUAAUACCGCAUAACGUCGCAAGACCAAAGAGGGGGACCUUAGGGCCUCUUGCCAUCGGAUGUGCCCAGAUGGGAUUAGCUAGUAGGUGGGGUAACGGCUCACCUAGGCGACGAUCCCUAGCUGGUCUGAGGGGAUGACCAGCCACACUGGAACUGAGACACGGUCCAGACUCCUACGGGAGGCAGCAGUGGGGAAUAUUGCACAAUGGGCGCAAGCCUGAUGCAGCCAUGCCGCGUGUAUGAAGAAGGCCUUCGGGUUGUAAAGUACUUUCAGCGGGGAGGAAGGGAGUAAAGUUAAUACCUUUGCUCAUUGACGUUACCCGCAGAAGAAGCACCGGCUAACUCCGUG
rnacentral:rRNA from 1 species